rnacentral:rRNA from 1 species
CCCUUAGAUGUUCUGGGCCGCACGCGCGCUACACUGACGAAUGCAACGAGCUUAUAACCUUGGCCGAAAGGUCUGGGUAAUCUCCAAAUUUCGUCGUGAUGGGGAUAGAUUAUUGCAAUUAUUAAUCUUCAACGAGGAAUGACUAGUAAGCGCAAGUCAUCAGCUUGCGUUGAUUACGUCCCUGCCCUUUGUACACACCGCCCGUCGCUCCUACCGAUUGAAUGGUCCGGUGAAGCGUUCGGACCGUGGCCUUUGGACGGUUCGCCGUCUGUUGGCUGCGGGAAGUUCGUUAAACCUUAUCAUUUAGAGGAAGGAGAAGUCGUAACA